GGUUAAGCGACUAAGCGUACACGGUGGAUGCCCUGGCAGUCAGAGGCGAUGAAGGACGUGCUAAUCUGCGAAAAGCGUCGGUAAGGUGAUAUGAACCGUUACAGCCGGCGAUGUCCGAAUGGGGAAACCCAGUGCAAUUCGUUGCACUAUCGUUAACUGAAUACAUAGGUUAACGAGGCGAACCGGGGGAACUGAAACAUCUAAGUACCCCGAGGAAAAGAAAUCAACCGAGAUUCCCCCAGUAGCGGCGAGCGAACGGGGAGCAGCCCAGAGUCUGAAUCAGCUUGUGUGUUAGUGGAACGGUCUGGAAAGUCCGACGGUACAGGGUGAUAGUCCCGUACACCAAAAUGCACAGGCUGUGAACUCGAAGAGUAGGGCGGGACACGUGGUAUCCUGUCUGAAUAUGGGGGGACCAUCCUCCAAGGCUAAAUACUCCUGACUGACCGAUAGUGAACCAGUACCGUGAGGGAAAGGCGAAAAGAACCCCGGCGAGGGGAGUGAAAAAGAACCUGAAACCGUGUACGUACAAGCAGUGGGAGCACCUUCGGGUGUGACUGCGUACCUUUUGUAUAAUGGGUCAGCGACUUAUAUUCUGUAGCAAGGUUAACCGUAUAGGGGAGCCGCAGGGAAACCGAGUCUUAACUGGGCGUUAAGUUGCAGGGUAUAGACCCGAAACCCGGUGAUCUAGCCAUGGGCAGGUUGAAGGUUGGGUAACACUAACUGGAGGACCGAACCGACUAAUGUUGAAAAAUUAGCGGAUGACUUGUGGCUGGGGGUGAAAGGCCAAUCAAACCGGGAGAUAGCUGGUUCUCCCCGAAAGCUAUUUAGGUAGCGCCUCGUGAAUUCAUCUUCGGGGGUAGAGCACUGUUUCGGCUAGGGGGUCAUCCCGACUUACCAACCCGAUGCAAACUACGAAUACCGAAGAAUGUUAUCACGGGAGACACACGGCGGGUGCUAACGUCCGUCGUGAAGAGGGAAACAACCCAGACCGCCAGCUAAGGUCCCAAAGUCAUGGUUAAGUGGGAAACGAUGUGGGAAGGCACAGACAGCCAGGAUGUUGGCUUAGAAGCAGCCAUCAUUUAAAGAAAGCGUAAUAGCUCACUGGUCGAGUCGGCCUGCGCGGAAGAUGUAACGGGGCUAAACCAUGCACCGAAGCUGCGGCAGCGACACUAUGUGUUGUUGGGUAGGGGAGCGUUCUGUAAGCCUGCGAAGGUGACCUGUGAGGGUUGCUGGAGGUAUCAGAAGUGCGAAUGCUGACAUAAGUAACGAUAAAGCGGGUGAAAAGCCCGCUCGCCGGAAGACCAAGGGUUCCUGUCCAACGUUAAUCGGGGCAGGGUGAGUCGACCCCUAAGGCGAGGCCGAAAGGCGUAGUCGAUGGGAAACAGGUUAAUAUUCCUGUACUUGGUGUUACUGCGAAGGGGGGACGGAGAAGGCUAUGUUAGCCGGGCGACGGUUGUCCCGGUUUAAGCAUGUAGGCUGGUUGUCCAGGCAAAUCCGGAUAAUCAAGGCUGAGGUGUGAUGACGAGGCACUACGGUGCUGAAGUAACAAAUGCCCUGCUUCCAGGAAAAGCCUCUAAGCAUCAGGUAACAUUAAAUCGUACCCCAAACCGACACAGGUGGUCAGGUAGAGAAUACCAAGGCGCUUGAGAGAACUCGGGUGAAGGAACUAGGCAAAAUGGUGCCGUAACUUCGGGAGAAGGCACGCUGGUGUGUAGGUGAAGUCCCUGCGGAUGGAGCUGAGACCAGUCGAAGAUACCAGCUGGCUGCAACUGUUUAUUAAAAACACAGCACUGUGCAAACACGAAAGUGGACGUAUACGGUGUGACGCCUGCCCGGUGCCGGAAGGUUAAUUGAUGGGGUUAUCCGUAAGGAGAAGCUCUUGAUCGAAGCCCCGGUAAACGGCGGCCGUAACUAUAACGGUCCUAAGGUAGCGAAAUUCCUUGUCGGGUAAGUUCCGACCUGCACGAAUGGCGUAAUGAUGGCCAGGCUGUCUCCACCCGAGACUCAGUGAAAUUGAACUCGCUGUGAAGAUGCAGUGUACCCGCGGCAAGACGGAAAGACCCCGUGAACCUUUACUAUAGCUUGACACUGAACAUUGAGCCUUGAUGUGUAGGAUAGGUGGGAGGCUUUGAAGCGUGGACGCCAGUCUGCGUGGAGCCAACCUUGAAAUACCACCCUUUAAUGUUUGAUGUUCUAACGUUGGCCCCUUACCGGGGUUGCGGACAGUGUCUGGUGGGUAGUUUGACUGGGGCGGUCUCCUCCCAAAGCGUAACGGAGGAGCACGAAGGUUAGCUAAUCCUGGUCGGACAUCAGGAGGUUAGUGCAAUGGCAUAAGCUAGCUUGACUGCGAGCGUGACGGCGCGAGCAGGUGCGAAAGCAGGUCAUAGUGAUCCGGUGGUUCUGAAUGGAAGGGCCAUCGCUCAACGGAUAAAAGGUACUCCGGGGAUAACAGGCUGAUACCGCCCAAGAGUUCAUAUCGACGGCGGUGUUUGGCACCUCGAUGUCGGCUCAUCACAUCCUGGGGCUGAAGUAGGUCCCAAGGGUAUGGCUGUUCGCCAUUUAAAGUGGUACGCGAGCUGGGUUUAGAACGUCGUGAGACAGUUCGGUCCCUAUCUGCCGUGGGCGCUGGAGAAUUGAGGGGGCUGCUCCUAGUACGAGAGGACCGGAGUGGACGCAUCACUGGUGUUCGGGUUGUCAUGCCAAUGGCACUGCCCGGUAGCUAAAUGCGGAAGAGAUAAGUGCUGAAAGCAUCUAAGCACGAAACUUGCCCCGAGAUGAGUUCUCCCUGAGACUUUAAGUCUCCUGAAGGAACGUUAAAGACGAUGACGUUGAUAGGCCGGGUGUGUAAGCGCAGCGAUGCGUUGAGCUAACCGGUACUAAUGAACCGUGAGGCUUAACCUU
rnacentral:rRNA from 1 species